AUUUGCUCUUGGAAUGUACGUGGAUUAGGCGAUGAAGCCAAGUGCUCCGACAUCCUCUCUGAACUAAUUGCGAUCAAACCCCACAUUGCCCUCCUGCAAGAGUCUAAACUCGAUACUUACUCUGACCCCAAAUUAAGAUCAUUAUUGCCACAUCAUCUCAACCAAGUGUUCUUGCUUCCCACCAUGGGCACCGCUGGCGGCACUAUUUUUGCCGUCAAUACAACCUCCCUCAAAGUUAUCUUGUUUGCCCACCUCACCUUCUCCUCCACCCUAAUAUUGCAAUCAAUGGCAUGUGCUCGCAACAUUGACAUCACCAAUAUCUACGCUCCCUCUUCACGUGAGCUCAAGCAAUCUUUCCUAGAUGAACUCCUAGCUAUCUCACAACCAGAUGACUUGCCCUGGCUGAUCGCUGGAGACUUCAACCUACUUCGCUUCCCCUUUGACAAAAACAAUAAUGCCUUCCAACAUACUGAGGCCAACACUUUUCACCAAACCUUAGAUGACCUAGCCCUCAUCGAGCUACCGCUCCUUGAUCUCCAAUUUACUUGGUCGAACAUUAGAGAAAUGCCUACCUUAGAACGGAUCGAUCGCGCUUUCUUUAACCUAGCCUGGGCCGACGCCUUCCCUAACACAUCCCUAUCCUCUCUCACGCGUUUUACGUUCGAUCAU
rnacentral:rRNA from 1 species